ensembl:lncRNA
UGUAUGUUUAACAAGCUAAUUAAGACUCAUUUGUCCAAGCUACUACCCUGCUGUCCCUCUGUCGUGUCUCAACCUCCAACAGGAAAGUAGAAGUCCUCAUAUGACACCAGGUGCCGAGGUCCUGUCUCAACCUCCUUCAGACCAAUUGGCUCAAGGACCAAGUAUUCUGGGGGUUCCAAGCCACACGCUUUACUCAGCUGCCCUGGACAACAUGAAGGGCACCUCUGGCUCAAUCACCCUGAACAACAAAAACAUUAGCAACACUUCACCAAGAAGGGGUAAAGGCACCCAAAUACAAAAUGUUUUAGGUUAAUAUACUUGUGAUCAAAGAACAAGUUUGUUUUCAGACAUGACACUAUUCAGAGCUUUUAUCAUAAAUCAUUUCAUCUUAUUUGAUUCCCAGCAGAACACAGCACUUCAAAUGGUUCAUUCCAAGCAUCCUUAAAGGAGCAAUAAGCAAUAUCUUUUCACUGCUAGGUGUGCUGUUUUGCACUGCCUGUGAACCAAACCAAAGUCUAUGGCUGGAGAUCAACACAGAGAGAGGGAUUGUGACUUCAUGCUGUACUCCAGAUGUAAUUACACCUCUAGUUCUUCACACAGUCAUUUUUAAUUCCUUCAACCUAAGUAUGAUGAAUUGUGCUUAUUGCUCCUUUAAAGUGCUCCAGUAGAAAGCAAGGUUUAAGAACAUUUUGUAUUCACAUUAUAAACUAGAAUAUUUUCUAUCUUUUCUUGCAUUCACAUUAAGAUAUUUUCUUUUGUUUCCAUUUAUGACAGCUGGGACGGUGAGAAGCAAGUGGACAAAUGAUGAAGUGAAGGUUGCUGAGCGGCACGUUUCACUUCAUAAAAAGCUGCAAAGUACCAGGUAAAAAGGAAUGUGACUGCUGCCUCCAAGCAGAGCCGGCAGCUCUGAAAGACAGAGACUGGGUUGUCAUAAGGUACUACAGCCACAACAGGAUCAUAGCAUUAAAAGAAAGAUGCAAGAAAAAAAGAAACAAGCAAGAGAGAUACUUUGUUACUUCCACAGUUAUGUCAGUAUUGCAGUUUUCUGUAUUGCAUUGUUCUUACUCAUAAAUCUGUGGUUUAUGCUGGGUGCUUUUUGCAAUUAAAUGAUAAAAAAGGCA